rnacentral:rRNA from 1 species
GAUGAACGCUAGCUACAGGCUUAACACAUGCAAGUCGAGGGGCAGCAUGGUCUUAGCUUGCUAAGGCCGAUGGCGACCGGCGCACGGGUGAGUAACACGUAUCCAACCUGCCGUCUACUCUUGGACAGCCUUCUGAAAGGAAGAUUAAUACAAGAUGGCAUCAUGAGUCCGCAUGUUCACAUGAUUAAAGGUGUUCCGGUAGACGAUGGGGAUGCGUUCCAUUAGAUAGUAGGCGGGGUAACGGCCCACCGAGUCUUCGAUGGAUAGGGGUUCUGAGAGGAAGGUCACCCACAUUGGAACUGAGACACGGUCCAA